AUUGUUUUAAAGAAACGUCAAUAAACCAGAGCACGUUUCUCUCCCGUCCCAGAAUGCUGUCUGGUGAUGCAAGACUAUAAGCAGGCUAACAGUUAGCUAUAGCUAUAUGAACCUAUGUUUGGAUCGUGUUAGCCAAUUAUCAGAGCUACAAACUCAAUUUCAGUCAUUUAAAAAUCAGAUACAAAGCAGGUUGUUGUCUUAAUACAUCCAUGGAUAUGUCAGAUUCUUCCAUAAAGGGAUUUUUGUUAGUCUUCUUAUUGAUGUUGUUCUGAUUUAUGACAUGUAUGUUAACAAACAUCCAGUGUAUUGUGUCUGUGGAGCAUGUAGUCUGAAUAUGAUCUCCAUAUGUUUUAUUUAGCUUCAUGUUUUGUUUUUAUAGAUUCAAAAUUUGAUAUAUAGAAAUAAAGUCCUUCUAGAAAAAUA